GACGAACGCUGGCGGCGUGCUUAACACAUGCAAGUCGAACGGAAAGGCCCUGCUUUUGUGGGGUGCUCGAGUGGCGAACGGGUGAGUAACACGUGAGUAACCUGCCCUUGACUUUGGGAUAACUUCAGGAAACUGGGGCUAAUACCGGAUAGGAGCUCCUGCUGCAUAGUGGGGGUUGGAAAGUUUCGGCGGUUGGGGAUGGACUCGCGGCUUAUCAGCUUGUUGGUGGGGUAGUGGCUUACCAAGGCUUUGACGGGUAGCCGGCCUGAGAGGGUGACCGGCCACAUUGGGACUGAGAUACGGCCCAGACUCCUGCGGGAGGCAGCAGUGGGGAAUAUUGCACAAUGGGCGGAAGCCUGAUGCAGCAACGCCGCGUGCGGGAUGACGGCCUUCGGGUUGUAAACCGCUUUCGCCUGUGACGAAGCGUGAGUGACGGUAAUGGGUAAAGAAGCACCGGCUAACUACGUG
rnacentral:rRNA from 1 species